GAUGAACGCUGGCGGCGUGCCUAAUACAUGCAAGUCGAGCGAACGGAUGAGAAGCUUGCUUCUCUGAUGUUAGCGGCGGACGGGUGAGUAACACGUGGAUAACCUACCUAUAAGACUGGGAUAACUUCGGGAAACCGGAGCUAAUACCGGAUAAUAUUUUGAACCGCAUGGUUCAAAAGUGAAAGACGGUCUUGCUGUCACUUAUAGAUGGAUCCGCGCUGCAUUAGCUAGUUGGUAAGGUAACGGCUUACCAAGGCAACGAUGCAUAGCCGACCUGAGAGAGUGAUCGGCCACACUGGAACUGAGACACGGUCCAGACUCCUACGGGAGGCAGCAGUAGGGAAUCUUCCGCAAUGGGCGAAAGCCUGACGGAGCAACGCCGCGUGAGUGAUGAAGGUCUUCGGAUCGUAAAACUCUGUUAUUAGGGAAGAACAUAUGUGUAAGUAACUGUGCACAUCUUGACGGUACCUAAUCAGAAAGCCACGGCUAACUACGUG
rnacentral:rRNA from 1 species